rnacentral:rRNA from 1 species
GUGCCAGCAGCCGCGGUAAUACAGAGGGUGCGAGCGUUAAUCGGAUUUACUGGGCGUAAAGCGUGCGUAGGCGGCUUUUUAAGUCGGAUGUGAAAUCCCCGAGCUUAACUUGGGAAUUGCAUUCGAUACUGGGAAGCUAGAGUAUGGGAGAGGAUGGUAGAAUUCCAGGUGUAGCGGUGAAAUGCGUAGAGAUCUGGAGGAAUACCGAUGGCGAAGGCAGCCAUCUGGCCCAAUACUGACGCUGAGGUACGAAAGCAUGGGGNGCAAACNGGAUUACAUACCCUUGUAGUUC